rnacentral:rRNA from 1 species
GCAGAGCAUCCUACGGGAGGCAGCAGUGGGGAAUAUUGCACAAUGGGCGACAAGCCUGAUGCAGCCAUGCCGCGUGUAUGAAGAAGGCCUUCGGGUUGUAAAGUACUUUCAGCAGUGAGGAAGGUGGAUAUGUUAAUAGCAUAUUCAUUUGACGUUAGCUGCAGAAGAAGCACCGGCUAACUCCGUGCCAGCAGCCGCGGUAAUACGGAGGGUGCGAGCGUUAAUCGGAAUUACUGGGCGUAAAGCGCAUGCAGGUGGUUUGUUAAGUCAGAUGUGAAAGCCCGGGGCUCAACCUCGGAAUUGCAUUUGAAACUGGCAAACUAGAGUACUGUAGAGGGGGUAGAAUUUCAGGUGUAGCGGUGAAAUGCGUAGAGAUCUGAAGGAAUACCGGUGGCGAAGGCGGCCCCCUGGACAGAUACUGACACUCAGAUGCGAAAGCGUGGGGAGCAAACAGGAUUAGAUACCCUGGUAG